UCAGGGGGUGCAAACGUUGCUCGGAAUCAUUGGGCGUAAAGCGCACGUAGGCGGUUCGUUAUGUCGGAUGUGAAAGCCCUUGGCUUAACCGAGGAAGUGCAUCCGAAACUGGCGAGCUAGAGUACGAAAGAGGAUCGCGGAAUUCCCGGUGUAGAGGUGAAAUUCGUAGAUAUCGAGAGGAACACCGGUGGCGAAGGCGGCCUUCUGGACAGUGACUGACGCUGAGACGCGAAAGCGUGGGGAGCAAACAGG
rnacentral:rRNA from 1 species